AAUGCCUAUUGUUGACAUCUAUGAAAAAGAUCUAGGAGUUUAUGUUGACUCACAAAUGUCUUCAUCUAGACAAUGUGGAGAAGCUAUAAAAAAGGCUAAGAUGCUUGGAUAUAGUGUGAAAAGUGUUGAAUUUAAAUCAAGGGAAGUAAUGUUAAAACUUUACAAUGCAUUAGUAAGACCUCAUCUAGAAUAUUGUGUUCAGUUCUGGUCACCUCGUUACAAAAAGGAUAUUGCUGCUCUAGAAAGAGUGCAAAGAAGAGCGACCAGAAUUAUUCCUGGUUUAAAAGGCAUGUCAUAUGCAGACAGGCUAAUAGAAUUGAAUCUAUUCAGUCUUGAACAAAGAAGACUACGCGGUGAUCUGAGCCAAGCAUUCUAAAUUCUAAAAGGUAUUGACAAUGUCGACCCAGGGGACUUUUUCGACCUGAAAAAAGAAACAAGGACCAGGGGUCACAAAUGGAGAUUAGAUAAAGGGGCAUUCAGAACAAAAAAAUAGGAGGCACUUUUUUACACAGAGAACCAACUCCCCAGUAAUGUUGUUGAAGCUGACACCCUGGGAUCCUUCAAGAAGCUGCUUUAUGAGAUUAUGGGAUCAAUAAGCUACUAACAACCAAACGAGCAAGAUGGGCCAAAUGGCCUCCUCUCUUUUGUAAACUUUCUUAUGUUCUUAUGCCAGGUGUACAAAACAUGGUUAUUUCAACAGCCACUGUAUUCAUUCUCUGAUGGAACAUAGAGUUAAAAGUCAAGUAGUCUGCUUACCUGACAUGGGGCUAAAAUCUCUAGUUAGGAAAUAACAGUAAAAGGCAGUUUUACAGUUCAUGCAUAAAAAAUAAAUACAGAUUUAAUUUACAUUCUCUAGUUUCAAAACAAAGAGGGAUUAUAUUAGUGGAGGAAACAAUGCUUGUAAAUGUCAAAAAAUAAAUAAAUGCAAAAUUAGGCGGAGUUCUAACUUGAAGGUCACAUUUCACACACUUGAGUCUGAAGUUAUUAUUGCAACACAGAGGAGCCAUAUUAUAUAACUAAAUUUUGAAUUAUCAUAAAAUCUAGACCUAAUCUGAUUAAUGGCAUAGAGCUUCCGACAGGCUGAACAUACACGACAGCACACAGCCAAUAGCAGCAGUGAAAGAAGCAGUCAAAUAUUUCUUUAGUGAAAUGGGUUGUUAUAGAUUUAAAUGUUACCCCAACAUGCUUGAUACCAGGUUCCUUUAAAUAGUAGAUGUUGGUUGAUUUAGUCAACAAGAUUGAGAUGAGAUAAGAAUAAUGUAACUAAUUUGACCAGUAGCCAGACUACACCAUAGGGAUAGUGUCACACCCACAACAAUCUGUAUAGAUACAUUCUAGUGUACUAUAAUAUACAAUGUGGAAAACUGAACUCCUGACAGGUAGCAAUAUUUUUGGGUCAUUCAUUUCAUUAAAGAUAACGGAAACAAUGGGGUAUGCCUAAUAAUUCAAAAAAAUGAAUACUUUUUAGGUGGAUAGUUUGAUAGAUUUGUUCAUUUACAAUUUAAAAGGCAUAUUUUCAAAGCAUUCCUCUUGAGUAAUUUUUUUAAACGUGAACAUUCCAAGUUAAAGUUACAAACCUUAGAAUUUCACAACUUAUUUUUACAUUUUUCAUCAAUCAUUUUUGUUUUUCCACCCAAAUUUUGAAAUGCCAAUUCAAAUGUUCCUCCUCUGUCUGGUUUUGUUGGGCUGCUGUCCAGUAGGAGUUGUUGAACUGGGAUGAGGUGAGGUGAGCUAUCCCAUACAGUUUUCCUUCCUAACCCUUUCUCAGCAGUGAAAUAAAAGAAAGAUCAUCUGUAAUGAUGUCUCACUGAUUCUGAUUCGGCAUGCAAUGCUAAAGGUAAAGGUAAAAUAAAUAUUUUAUAGUAUACCUUUAUUGUUCCCUUUUGUUUUGCCAAAAACAAGUAAUUAAUUAUUGAUAUAUUCAAAUAAUAGAAACAAUAAUAUGAAUGGUUUUAAUGUCCCACAUAUACCCCAUUAGAAAGUUCUGAAACAGCUGAACACAAUGAAUAUGAAAAGCUGGAGGAUGUGAUGAUACUAACCCACAUCUGCCAAAUCUAUUUGAUUUCCCCUUUGACCACUCUGUUUAAUCUGUCCUUUGAGACCAGCCGUUUUCCAAAGAUCUGAAAACUUGCUGGAAUAAUUCCUGUGUUAAGAAGUAAAGCCCAGUACAUUACCACCCUCAAAUGAUUUGCAAUAUUUGAAUGGCAGUGCUUUUAAUCUGCCAUAAAAACUAUUAGAAGUGCAAUUUCUUCAGACUCAUUUUCACACUCAGACUCAUUUCAAAAGCUGCUCAAACAUAUAAAGCAAGGGCUUUAUCUGCAGGAUUAGUGAUUAAGGAUAACUUCUUGUGUUUGGAUUUUAGAACAUUGUCUACCUGGCAUAUUACAUGUAGCUCCCGAAGAGGGGAUGUGCUUUCUGUGACUCCAGAACCUGUAGCAAGCAGCACAGCAACUAACAAGUGCUGGGAGUCUAACCUCAAAGUGGACUGAAAAUCAAUUGAUGACACGUUGACAGACCAAGUUACAUGUAUCUACAGCCGGCAACUAGACCUGAAGAUCAGCUCCUGAACUCAGGCAACCAAUGUAAAACUGUAAUUGGAGACGCCGGUUCACCAUCGCCCGGGGACGCCUCCAAACCACCGCCCGAGGACACCCGCAAGCCACCGCCCAGAGACGCCUCCAAGACACCGCCCGGGGACGCCUCCAAGCCAAGGUCCGGGGACGCCUCCAAGCCAAGGUCCGGGGACGCCCGCAAGCCACCCCCCGAGGACGCCCGCAAGCCACCGCCCGGGGACGCCUCCAAGCCACUCUGCGCGAUCAACAGGGUGGUGCAGAUUCUGACAGUGGAGCAGAAAGCCUUUAUUACAGAACCGAAGUUCAGUUGUAUAUCCUGUAAAUACUUAGUCACCAACGUGGUGACUUGACGGUCAAAUCUACUGGCCAUAUUAAAAUUGAAGUUAGACCUGAUUUGAACCACGCUGGCGUUAACACAAUCAUACUGCUAUAGUUUUGUACGGUAAAAAUGUUCAAUGGCAAAACCGGAAACGUUUUACAAUUUCCGACCAGGACAAAAAUAUCUGGGCUGAAAACUGUGACAAUCCCAGAACUCAACAAAUCUAUAUUUGAACGAUAGAAGAAAACUCUAGUCGCUGUAUUUUACAUCAGCAUGACUAGGAACUACUGUAAAAUGGCCAGCUCCUAUGUAAAAAAGGCGUAGUUAAUUUACAUGUAUUUAGAACACAUACUAUUUUAUGUAUUAUGAUUGGUCCAAAUCAAUAUGUGUACUAGGUAUGUGUUUUUGACCCGGAUGGCCUUCCAUAGCAAGCUGCCUUUGGCUGUUAUUUUAGACAUCUUUAUGCUAGCCAUCUGAAGAAAUGGAAGAAUAUGAUUGGCUUAUAGAUGUGCUAAUCAUAACUAUAGAGGAGGCAAGAGAGCAUUCGCCUCCUCUGAAUGUACAGCAGUGACUGAGUGGAAAAUUUGGAUCAGGUGGCUGCCUCUGCAUAAAAUAAAUAUGUUGCAUAUUACAUAUAAGUAAAUAAAUUGAUAGAUAAAUAAAUUAAAUAAAUAGAUAAAUAAGAACUUAUUUUAAAAAGGUCGAGUAGGCAGUGCCUCCUCUGCUUCCUCCGACGAGCCUCCACUGGGUUGUUGUAGUGUGAAUAAUCCACAAUAUCUAAAUGAGUAUAUGAGGUGCAAGCAGUUGCUAGUUUCCUGUUGUUUUCAGCUCUGAAUGAGAAGAAGCAGAAACAAUUAAAAGGCUGAACAAAAUACUACUGUAGAUCUUAGCUUUCUGUGAAUAGAAAACAGGGUUCACAAAUUGCUGGGAAAAGUAAAUAUACUAAUUUAUAAAACAAGUAUUUAAAGCCGUUGUAUCCUACAAUCAUUUCUCUCUUUUAUUUUUUACAUUCUGUAAAAUGGUUCUUUAGCCCUUGAAAUUAGCUUACCCAAUUUUCUGUAACCCAAAGAGUUAUAUAAUCAGCAUUUUAUGGCAGCAGUUGAAGAUCCUAAAUGUCACCUUCAAAACUAUAUCCUAUGAAACAAAUCCACAAUAAAAAGAGUGAUCACCUUUAUCCCCUAUAAAUCCCUGGUAAAGUCCAGUUAAAAUGAAAGAGUUAUGCUCUUGCACAAUAUAGCUGUUGCUCCACCUGGUCGAUACUUAAGUUUUGGCAGCUGGCAUUAAAGUGUAGAUGAUGAAUUAUUAGGACUUCUGUCAGUGUUUAUACCAUUUCUUGUUGUUUAAUUUCAGAACAUUUUCUGACAAAAAUCUGUGUUUGUUGCAGCUUUUCAUUGUUUUAUAGAAUCUAAGAAUUGAAGUGACGGGUUCUUUCUUUUACUGCUCAAAAGCACUUAUCUGGAGUUUGAUUGUGUCCUGAAAAUGUGCAAAUCAAAUAAUUAUUUUAUAAUUUAUUUCUCCUCUCUCUCUCUCCCCUGUUCUCCACUCACCGAACACCCAACCCUGAGUGAGUGAAACACUGCUUCUUUUAUGCAACUGUACCAAGACUCGAUUGCUAAUCAAUUAUUCAACUGGGAUCUCGGUACAUCUGCAGGUGAACUAAUUGUGCUCCCUGUGUUUCCAUACUAAUACCCACAUUAAUCUGCACGUGGAGUGAUUGUGCAAUCCCUGUGCCUAAUUAGACAAUUAGACAUUUUAACAACACUCGUGCUACAUAGCCCCACGUUAUAUCCCGUGCACCAAUACAUAUACGCCAACAUUAACACACCACAUAUAACAUAAAACACAGAAAUACGCACAGGGACAGGGCAACCCGUCACAGUGUUAUAUCUGCAGGCAGUACCGGUGUCCCAGGAAAUAAAUUGAUCGGGAAAUAAGUUGAUCAAGCUCUAGAAUUUAAAGGGGAGGUUCCAUUGUUUCUAAUGUAAACGAGCCUAAGCUAGGAAAUAAGUAGAUCGAGCCAGGAAAUAAGUUGAUCGGAUAUAUUAAUGAACAAUAAAUAAUUUAAAAUUAAUUUUGUAAGUAUAAUUUAUAUCAAUUAGUAGAUCGGAUUUAUUCGGCAGUAUGCUGCUAGAUAAGAUGAUGUGAAUAUCGCUUUAGAUCCAAUAUAUUAGCCUAACAGAAAUGCAAAAUUUAAAAUUACUUUUGUACGUAUAAUUUACAUUAACAUGUAGAUCGGAUAUAUUCGACAGUAUUACGCUAGAUAAGGGAAUGUGAAUAUCGCUGUAAUAUAUAUUAGCAGCAAAUAAUAAUUUAAAAUGAAUUGUAUACAUUUCUGAUUGUGUAUUUCUGUUUGUGUAACAAAUAUUAACUAGCAAAAUGUGUUACGUAUUGACGUUAUUUUGCAUUUCUGGAGGUGUUUUUGUUUUGGGAAGCACUACAGUAUGGACAGCAGGUAUGCGAGCGAUUGUCCAAAAGUUAAAGCAUGAGUUUCAAUCAUGGAAAAAAUUAAGCUCCAUGCUGCGAUUACUAACUAGGCCACGGUGCACAUCAAUCACAUGAUGUACUUGAAAAACUUUGCUUAUACAGUAUUAUUAUUUUAUAUUUGUUCUUUCAUUUAUUUUUACAUACAGUACUUUGUAUAAUUAGGACAGAAAACGAACAGGAGACAGGAGGUUAUCAUAGUGCAUGUAUUUCAAUUACAAGAUUUGGAAGAAACAAUACAUUAAUUAAUUAAAAACUAAAGAGUUAAUGUCUUUGCUAAACCGUGGUAAAUACCUGUAGUUCAAAACCAACCAAGAUUUUGUGUUGUGAGAGAGAUCGUACAGUAUAUGUAGGCUACUCUAUAUCAGCAUCAUUUUAAAAUGGUAACUCCCUGUAGUGCAACAACCAAUAAGACAUAUAAUGAGAAAGAGAUACAGUAUAUUGAAUUAAAGUGAAUUAUCACGAUUUAAAAUCAUGUAGAUAUACACAUAUGUACGGUAAUAAUAUUAUGGAUGCAGCAUGUCAUUUAUAUUACUGAAACAUUUUAAUUUUGAUUAAAGAUUGACAACAUUUUGACGUGUAAAAUAAUUUAAUAUAUAAAUAAAUAUCCGCGAUCGCACAUAAACUGCAUCAGAUUGACAUCGAUGUUAUAGAAACAUAGAAAGACAGAGGUUUAAAACAGUUUACCAUAGAAAUAGUCGUCGAUCACACAUUUUAAAUUUCAUACAAAAAGACAGUGGCACAAACACGCACUGACAUAUACAGUCUAGUAAAUAAAACGGCCAGGUAAAAAUAAAAAGCCAUGUAGUGAACCUCCCCUUUAAUCAAACUGUAGCCCCGCCUUACUGCGCUUGCACGAUCAAUUUAUUUCCUACAACACCAGCAACAAAGGUAAAAUUCACCAGGAAAGGGGGUAAAAUCAGAAAAACUUAAAUAAUAUAGUGAUUGUUGAUAAGUUGUUGCAAAUAUUUGAAUGAUAAACCCUUACUGCAUUGUGAAAGGACAGCUGUAGGGGUAUGUGACAGAAAUAUAAUGAGUUCUGGUUGUAAAUCUCCCUCCCGACCUGUGAGGGCGCUAAGUAGCUAAAGGGAAAGGCUUUGGACAGGUUGGCCUGACAGUUCAUUUCCUGGGUCGGGAAGUUGGUCAGCCUGGAAGAAGGCGAGACUCCGUUGCAGGAACUUAUUGACCUGGAAGGUAAAUGAGGUAGCAGCUGCAGGCAAUAGAGUCAGCUGCAAUCGUUUACCAAGGGGUCAUGCAUGAUAGCAUAAAGGGGCCGGAGAAUCGAAAUCUCUUCCUUUGCUUGGUUUUUAUUGAGAGACUGGAAGGACCGUGUGAGAUGCAGAGAGAGUGUACUGAAAAAUAUUCGUGAGUGUUUUGUUUGUUUGUUCGUAUCUGUUUAGUAACUGUCUGUGUUUUUGUUAUCACUAGACGGCUAAACACGAAUCCGGAGUUGUCGCCAAGGGCCAGCACAAAACCGGAUCACCAUUGCACUAAAACUGUCACGAACUAUAAUAAAUUGUUAUCACCUACUACGAGCACUACUGCACGCACCGGGACGGGUGAUCGUGGUGAGUAUUAUUGUGGGGCAGAUAACGUGUCUUUAUUAUUUAGGGCUGCAAUCCCUGUUUUCUGUACUCUGUGUUUUACAUAUUGCUGUGUAUUACCAGAGCUUAUUAUUUGGUCACCAGACCCGGAUUAUAAAACAAAAUAAAU